rnacentral:rRNA from 1 species
UUGGGGUUAGUGGCGGACGGGUGAGUAACGCGUGGGAAUCUGCCCUCAGGAGGGGGAUAACGGCUGGAAACGGCCGCUAAUACCCCAUAUGCCGAGAGGUGAAAAGAAAUUCGCCUGAGGAUGAGCCCGCGUCUGAUUAGCUAGUUGGUGGGGUAAGAGCUCACCAAGGCGACGAUCAGUAGCUGGUCUGAGAGGAUGAUCAGCCACACUGGGACUGAGACACGGCCCAGACUCCUACGGGAGGCAGCAGUGGGGAAUUUUCCGCAAUGGGCGAAAGCCUGACGGAGCAACGCCGCGUGAGGGAUGAAGGCCUCUGGGCUGUAAACCUCUUUUCUCAAGGAAGAAGACAUGACGGUACUUGAGGAAUAAGCCACGGCUAAUUCCGUGCCAGCAGCCGCGGUAAUACGGGAGUGGCAAGCGUUAUCCGGAAUUAUUGGGCGUAAAGCGUCCGCAGGCGGCCCUGUAAGUCUGUCGUUAAAGCGUGGAGCUUAACUCCAUUUAAGCGAUGGAAACUACAGGGCUUGAGUGUGGUAGGGGCAGAGGGAAUUCCCGGUGUAGCGGUGAAAUGCGUAGAUAUCGGGAAGAACACCAGUGGCGAAGGCGCUCUGCUGGGCCAUAACUGACGCUCAUGGACGAAAGCCAGGGGAGCGAAAGGGAUUAGAUACCCCUGUAGUCCUGGCCGUAAACGAUGAACACUAGGUGUCGGGGGAAUCGACCCCCUCGGUGUCGUAGCCAACGCGUUAAGUGUUCCGCCUGGGGAGUACGCACGCAAGUGUGAAACUCAAAGGAAUUGACGGGGGCCCGCACAAGCGGUGGAGUAUGUGGUUUAAUUCGAUGCAACGCGAAGAACCUUACCAGGGUUUGACAUCCUGCGAAUCCCUUGGAAACGAGGGAGUGCCUUCGGGAGCGCAGAGACAGGUGGUGCAUGGCUGUCGUCAGCUCGUGUCGUGAGAUGUUGGGUUAAGUCCCGCAACGAGCGCAACCCACGUCUUUAGUUGCCAGCAUUCAGUUGGGCACUCUAGAGAGACCGCCGGUGAUAAACCGGAGGAAGGUGUGGAUGACGUCAAGUCAUCAUGCCCCUUACAUCCUGGGCUACACACGUACUACAAUGCUACGGACAAAGGGCAGCAAGCUCGCGAGAGUUAGCAAAUCCCAUAAACCGUGGCUCAGUUCAGAUCGUAGGCUGCAACUCGCCUACGUGAAGGAGGAAUCGCUAGUAAUCGCAGGUCAGCAUACUGCGGUGAAUACGUUCCCGGGCCUUGUACACACCGCCCGUCACACCAUGGAAGUUGGCCAUGCCCGAAGUCGUUACUCC